CUAAUACCGGAUAAUACUUUCUCUCUCAUGGGGGAAGGUUAAAAGCUCCGGCGGUGAAGGAUGAGCCCGCGGCCUAUCAGCUAGUUGGUGGGGUAAUGGCCUACCAAGGCGACGACGGGUAGCCGGCCUGAGAGGGCGACCGGCCACACUGGGACUGAGACACGGCCCAGACUCCUACGGGAGGCAGCAGUGGGGAAUAUUGCACAAUGGGCGAAAGCCUGAUGCAGCGACGCCGCGUGAGGGAUGACGGCCUUCGGGUUGUAAACCUCUUUCAGCAGGGAAGAAGCGAAAGUGACGGUACCUGCAGAAGAAGCGCCGGCUAACUACGUGCCAGCAGCCGCGGUAAUACGUAGGGCGCAAGCGUUGUCCGGAAUUAUUGGGCGUAAAGAGCUCGUAGGCGGCUUGUUGCGUCGGUUGUGAAAGCCCGGGGCUUAACCCCGGGUCUGCAGUCGAUACGGGCAGGCUAGAGUGUGGUAGGGGAGAUCGGAAUUCCUGGUGUAGCGGUGAAAUGCGCAAAUAUCAGGAGGAACACCGGUGGCGAAGGCGGAUCUCUGGGCCAUUACUGACGCUGAGGAGCGAAAGCGUGGGGAGCGAACAGGAUUAGAUACCCUGGUAGUCCACGCCGUAAAC
rnacentral:rRNA from 1 species